UGUAAUUGCUGUAAAUGUUCAUAUUUCAUACUUUCCUGGAAACAAUUUUCCUUGGCAUUGGCAGUUGCUUUGCUAGAUUUUCUUAGCUGUCAGGGACUCAGGCAUGCUUCUAAUUUGCUUGGGAGGGUAUGACUGGAGAUGGAAACGGUAUAGGUCCUGGGCCUCAAGAAACAUCUGAAGCCGCUGUAAUUAGGUUCAGUUUGUUUGUUUUUAGUUUCUUAUGACAGACCAAUUUUCUCUUUUUGGAGCACAUCUGCAGCCUUACAUAUGAUUUAGAUGUAACAUGUAUUUUAUGUGGAAACGUUACAUCUGUUUGCCCAUGUAACUCUAGUGGACUAUCCUGGGGGAUGACACUCGAUCUGCAGUUCCUGAAUGCCUGUAAAGCGCAUUCUGGUGUAUCCAUCGGUGCCUUGCAAUGGUUAAG
rnacentral:sRNA from 1 species